GAUGAACGCUGACAGAAUGCUUAACACAUGCAAGUCAACUUGAACUUCGGUUUGGGUGGCGGACGGGUGAGUAACGCGUAAAGAACUUGCCUCACAGUUAGGGACAACAUUUGGAAACGAAUGCUAAUACCUGAUAUUAUGAUUUUAGGGCAUCCUAGAAUUAUGAAAGCUAUAUGCGCUGUGAGAGAGCUUUGCGUCCCAUUAGCUAGUUGGAGAGGUAACGGCUCACCAAGGCGAUGAUGGGUAGCCGGCCUGAGAGGGUGAACGGCCACAAGGGGACUGAGACACGGCCCUUACUCCUACGGGAGGCAGCAGUGGGGAAUAUUGGACAAUGGACCAAGAGUCUGAUCCAGCAAUUCUGUGUGAACGAUGAAGUUUUUCGGAAUGUAAAGUGCUUUCAGUUGGGAAGAAAAAAAUGACGAUACCAACAGAAGAAGUGACGGCUAAAUACGUG
rnacentral:rRNA from 1 species